AGAGUUUGAUCCUGGCUCAGAUUGAACGCUGGCGGCAUGGCUAAAACAUGCAAGUCGAGCGCGAAAGAGGAGCAAUCCUCGAGUAGAGCGGCGAAAGGGUGAGUAAUACGUUCCUACGUGCCUUGAGGUCAGGGAUAGCCAGGGGAAACUCUGGGUAAUACCUGAUGUGGUCUACGGAUCAAAGGCUUGCCGCCUCAAGAGCGGGGAACGUCCUAUCAGGUAGUUGGUGAGGUAACGGCUCACCAAGCCUAUGACGGGUAGCGGGUGUGAGAGCAUGGCCCGCCACAUCGGAACUGAGACACUGUCCGGACUCCUACGGGAGGCUGCAGUAACGAAUCUUCCGCAAUGCGCGCAAGCGUGACGGAGCAAUGCCGCGUGCAGGAUGAAGCCCUUCGGGGUGUAAACUGCUGUCAGGUUUAGGAACACAAGACCAAAGCCAAAAGAAGAGACGU
rnacentral:rRNA from 1 species